rnacentral:rRNA from 1 species
GGGAUUGCCCUAGUAACGGCGAGUGAAGCGGCAACAGCUCAAAUUUGAAAUCUGGCGCAAGCCCGAGUUGUAAUUUGUAGAGGAUGCUUCUGGGUAGCGACCGAUCUAAGUUCCUUGGAACAGGACGUCAUAGAGGGUGAGAAUCCCGUAUGUGACCGGCCCGCACCCUUGACGUAGCUCCUUCGACGAGUCGAGUUGUUUGGGAAUGCAGCUCUAAAUGGGAGGUAAAUUUCUUCUAAAGCUAAAUACCGGCCAGAGACCGAUAGCGCACAAGUAGAGUGAUCGAAAGAUGAAAAGUACUUUGGAAAGAGAGUUAAACAGCACGUGAAAUUGUUGAAAGGGAAGCGCCUGCAACCAGACUUCGCGGCAGUGUUCCGCCGGUCUUCUGACCGGUUCAUUCGCUGUCGCGAGGCCAUCAUCGUCUAGGCCCGCCGGAUAAGACCGUAGGAAUGUAGCUCCCCUUCGGGGGAGUGUUAUAGCCUCCGGUGAUGCGGCGAGGCUUGGGCGAGGUCCGCGCUUCGGCAAGGAUGAUGGCGUAAUGGUUGUCGGCGGCCCGUCUUGAAACACGGACCAAGGAGUCUAACAUCUAUGCGAGUGUUCGGGUGUCAAACCCCUACGCGUAAUGAAAGUGAACGGAGGUGGGAACCGCAAGGUGCACCAUCGACCGAUCCUGAUGUCCUCGGAUGGAUUUGAGUAAGAGCAUAGCUGUUGGGACCCGAAAGAUGGUGAACUAUGCCUGAAUAGGGUGAAGCCAGAGGAAACUCUGGUGGAGGCUCGCAGCGGUUCUGACGUGCAAAUCGAUCGUCAAAUUUGGGUAUAGGGGCG